UGAGGGGAGUGAAAUAGAUCCUGAAACCGCAUGCAUACAAGCAGUGGGAGCCGACUUGUUCGGUGACUGCGUACCUUUUGUAUAAUGGGUCAGCGACUUAUAUUCAGUAGCGAGGUUAACCGAAUAGGGGAGCCGUAGAGAAAUCGAGUCUUAAUAGGGCGUUUAGUUGCUGGGUAUAGACCCGAAACCAGGCGAUCUAUCCAUGAGCAGGUUGAAGGUUGGGUAACACUAACUGGAGGACCGAACCCACUGUCGUUGAAAAGCCAGGGGAUGACUUGUGGAUAGGGGUGAAAGGCUAAUCAAGCCUGGUGAUAGCUGGUUCUCCCCGAAAGCUAUUUAGGUAGCGCCUCGGACGAAUACCAUUGGGGGUAGAGCACUGUUUCGGCUAGGGGGUCAUCCCGACUUACCAAACCGAUGCAAACUCCGAAUACCAAUGAGUACUAUCCGGGAGACAGACUGCGGGUGCUAACGUCCGUAGUCAAGAGGAAAACAAUCCAGACCGCCAGCUAAGGCCCCAAAAUCAUAGUUAAGUGGGAAACGAUGUGGGAAGGCAUAGACAGCUAGGAGGUUGGCUUAGAAGCAGCCACCCUUUAAAGAAAGCGUAAUAGCUCACUAGUCGAGUCGGCCUGCGCGGAAGAUGUAACGGGGCUAAAACUAUGUGCCGAAGCUGCGGAUUUGACAUUAGUCAAGUGGUAGGGGAGCGUUCUGUAAGCCGAUGAAGGUGUAUUGAGAAGUAUGCUGGAGGUAUCAGAAGUGCGAAUGCUGACGUGAGUAACGACAAAACGGGUGAAAAACCCGUUCGCUGAAAGACCAAGGGUUCCAGUCCAACGUUAAUCGGGGCUGGGUGAGUCGACCCCUAAGGCGAGGCCGAGAGGCGUAGUCGAUGGGAAAUUGGUUAAUAUUCCAAUACUUCUGUGUAAUGCGAUGAGAGGACGGAGAAGGUUAAGUCAGCCUGGCGUUGGUUGUCCAGGUGGAAGACCGUAGGCAUGCAUCUUAGGCAAAUCCGGGGUGCUCUAUGCUGAGAGUCGAUAGCAAGCUGUACUUGUACAGUGAAGUGGCUGAUACCAUGCUUCCAGGAAAAGUCUCUAAGCUUCAGUUACACAGGAAUCGUACCCGAAACCGACACAGGUGGUCAGGUCGAGUAGACCAAAGCGCUUGAGAGAACUCUGCUGAAGGAACUAGGCAAAAUGGUACCGUAACUUCGGGAGAAGGUACGCUGCUGACGGUGAUGGGACUUGCUCCCUGAGCGGUUGGCAGCCGCAGAAACCAGGCCGCUGCAACUGUUUAUUAAAAACAUAGCACUCUGCAAACACGAAAGUGGACGUAUAGGGUGUGAUGCCUGCCCGGUGCUGGAAGGUUAAUUGAUGGGGUUAGCGUAAGCGAAGCUCUUGAUCGAAGCCCCAGUAAACGGCGGCCGUAACUAUAACGGUCCUAAGGUAGCGAAAUUCCUUGUCGGGUAAGUUCCGACCUGCACGAAUGGCAUAAUGAUGGCGGCGCUGUCUCCAGCAGAGGCUCAGUGAAAUCGAAAUCGCUGUGAAGAUGCAGUGUACCCGCGGCUAGACGGAAAGACCCCGUGAACCUUUACUGCAGCUUGACAUUGAACUUUGACCUUACUUGUGUAGGAUAGGUGGGAGGCUUUGAAGUUGGAACGCUAGUUCCAAUGGAGCCGUCCUUGAAAUACCACCCUGGUAAUGUUGAGGUUCUAACUCUGUCCCGUAAUCCGGGACGAGGACCAUGUCUGGUGGGUAGUUUGACUGGGGCGGUCUCCUCCUAAAGAGUAACGGAGGAGUACGAAGGUGCGCUCAGCGUGGUCGGAAAUCACGCGUAGAGUAUAAAGGCAAAAGCGCGCUUAACUGCGAGACCCACAAGUCGAGCAGGUACGAAAGUAGGUCUUAGUGAUCCGGUGGUUCUGUAUGGAAGGGCCAUCGCUCAACGGAUAAAAGGUACUCUGGGGAUAACAGGCUGAUACCGCCCAAGAGUUCAUAUCGACGGCGGUGUUUGGCACCUCGAUGUCGGCUCAUCUCAUCCUGGGGCUGAAGCAGGUCCCAAGGGUAUGGCUGUUCGCCAUUUAAAGAGGUACGCGAGCUGGGUUUAGAACGUCGUGAGACAGUUCGGUCCCUAUCUACCGUGGGCGCUGGAAAUUUGAGAGGAUCUGCUCCUAGUACGAGAGGACCAGAGUGGACGAACCUCUGGUGUACCGGUUGUCACGCCAGUGGCAUCGCCGGGUAGCUAUGUUCGGAAGGGAUAACCGCUGAAAGCAUCUAAGCGGGAAGCCUACCUCAAGAUAAGAUUUCCCUAGGAAUUUAUUCCUCUAAAGAGCCGUUCGAGACUAGGACGUUGAUAGGUUGGGUGUGGAAGCACGGUGACGUGUGAAGCUGACCA
rnacentral:rRNA from 1 species